UAGGGAAUCUUCCGCAAUGGACGAAAGUCUGACGGAGCAACGCCGCGUGAGUGAUGAAGGUUUUCGGAUCGUAAAACUCUGUUAUUAGGGAAGAACAAAUGCGUAAGUAACUGUGCGCAUCUUGACGGUACCUAAUCAGAAAGCCACGGCUAACUACGUGCCAGCAGCCGCGGUAAUACGUAGGUGGCAAGCGUUAUCCGGAAUUAUUGGGCGUAAAGCGCGCGUAGGCGGGUUCUUAAGUCUGAUGUGAAAGCCCACGGCUCAACCGUGGAGGGUCAUUGGAAACUGGGAAACUUGAGUACAGAAGAGGAAAGUGGAAUUCCAUGUGUAGCGGUGAAAUGCGCAGAGAUAUGGAGGAACACCAGUGGCGAAGGCGACUUUCUGGUCUGUAACUGACGCUGAUGUGCGAUAGCGUGGGGAUCAAACA
rnacentral:rRNA from 1 species